UACGUAGGGGGCAAGCGUUGUUCGGAAUUACUGGGCGUAAAGGGCGCGUAGGCGGCACGGCAAGUCGGGAGUGAAAGGCCCGGGGCUCAACCCCGGAACGUUUUUUCGAAACUGCCGAGCUAGAGUGCGGAAGGGGCAACUGGAAUUCCCAGUGUAGCGGUGAAAUGCGUAGAUAUUGGGAAGAACACCUGAGGCGAAGGCGGGUUGCUGGGCCGACACUGACGCUGAGGCGCGAAAGCCAGGGGAGC
rnacentral:rRNA from 1 species